GGUAAAAUGGCUGAAAAAUAGGCGAUAGAUUGUAAAUUUAUUUAUGGGAAUUAUUCUCUUUUACU
rnacentral:tRNA from 1 species